rnacentral:rRNA from 1 species
GCAUAUCAAUAAGCGGAGGAAAAGAAACCAACAGGGAUUGCCCCAGUAACGGCGAGUGAAGCGGCAACAGCUCAAAUUUGAAAUCUGGCCUCCGGGUCCGAGUUGUAAUUUGUAGAGGAUGCUUUUGGCGAGGUGCCUUCCGAGUUCCCUGGAACGGGACGCCAUAGAGGGUGAGAGCCCCGUCUGGUCGGACACCGAGCCUCUGUAAAGCUCCUUCGACGAGUCGAGUAGUUUGGGAAUGCUGCUCAAAAUGGGAGGUAUAUGUCUUCUAAAGCUAAAUAUUGGCCAGAGACCGAUAGCGCACAAGUAGAGUGAUCGAAAGAUGAAAAGCACUUUGAAAAGAGGGUUAAAAAGUACGUGAAAUUGUUGAAAGGGAAGCGC